rnacentral:rRNA from 1 species
UCGAUAGUCUUUCGCCCCAUGCGCAGAUUUGACGAUCGAUUUGCACGUCAGAACCGCUGCGAGCCUCCACCAGAGUUUCCUCUGGCUUCACCCUAUCCACGCAUAGUUCACCAUCUUUCGGGUCCGAACAGUUAUGCUCUUACUCAAAUCCAUCCGAAGACAUCAGGAUCGGUCGAUGAUGCACCCGUAAGGGCUCUCACCUCCGUUCACUUUCAUUACGCUUGAGGGUUUAACACCCAAAAACUCGCAUAAAUGUUCGACUCCUUGGUCCGUGUUUCAAGACGGGUGGCUGAUGACCAUUAUGCCAGCAUCCUAGCCGAAGCGCGGUCCUCAGUCCCAGCGGCGGUAUUACACAGCAGGCUAUAACACUCCCGGGGGAGUCACGUUCCUGAAGUCUUUAUCCCGCCGCCGAAACUGAUGCUGGCCUCAACCAAGCGGAGUGCACCGGUGAGAACACCGGAUGAUCCGCAAGGCAAAGGUCUGGUCACAAGCCCUUCCCUUUCAACAAUUUCACGUACUAUUUAACCCUCUUUUCAAAGUGCUUUUCAUCUUUCGAUCACUCUACUUGUGCGCUAUCGGUCUCUGGCCGGUAUUUAGCUUUAGAAGAAAUUUACCUCCCAUUUAGAGCAGCAUUCCCAAACUACUCGACUCGUCGAAGGAGAUUUACAGAGGCUCGGCAUCCAACCGUACGGGGCUCUCACCCUCUAAGGCGUCCUGUUCCAAGGAACUCGGAAGGUACCUAACCAAAAUCAUCCUCUACAAAUUACAACUCGGACCCGAGGGCCAGAUUUCAAAUUUGAGCUGUUGCCGCUUCACUCGCCGUACUAGGGCAUCCCUGUUGUUCGA